rnacentral:lncRNA from 1 species
CACCAAGCUGGAUCCCUCGGUUCCUCUUCCCGCUUCAGAGCCUGGCCUGGGAAGGGGCGAGGCCGCCGGUCCCGCCCGCAGUCACCGGACGAAUAAGAAUUCUUGCAUCGGAAUAGAUGGAUUUCAUGCAUUGCAGCAGGGUCACAAGUUACCUGAGGAUUAGAGACCUGUAAUCCCUCCCAGGCGUGCACAGCGAAACAGAAAGUCCCAAGACCUUACAGCCAAAGAACCUUUGACCUCAGCUGUCUGCCGGAUGCCUGGGAAGACAGAGCGGCUCCAAGUCAGCUGCUCCUAUUGGCCUGCCC